ACAGCACUUGGAGGACAUACAGCAAUAGCUGGUUGCAUUAACAAUUAGUUUUUACAACAUCGACUAUGUCGAAUAAAGUUCUAGGUAGAGUUAUGAUAAUGACAUUUUCUAUCUAUGUGUCUUGACCAAAUCACGUGCCAGCAGUCGCGGUAAUACGUGGAAGACUAGUGUUAUUCAUCUUUAAUUGGUUUAAAGGGUACCUAGACGGUCUAUUAAGCCCCUAAAGGGUACUUACAGACUAGAGUUUGAUGAGAGGGGGGAAGUACGAGAGAGUGUAGAGAUGAAAUUCUGUCAUACCUUACUUGGAACAGGCAACGGCGAAAGCAAC
rnacentral:rRNA from 1 species